rnacentral:tRNA from 1 species
GGAGGGGUUCCCGAGUGGCCAAAGGGAGCAGACUGUAAAUCUGCCGGCACUGCCUUCGAUGGUUCGAAUCCCGUCCCCCUCCCACCA